UUAAGCAUAUCAAUAAGCGGAGGAAAAGAAACCAACAGGGAUUCCCCUAGUAACGGCGAGUGAAGCGGGAACAGCUCAAAUUUGAAAUCUGGCCCUUGGGUCCGAGUUGUAAUUUGCAGAGGAUGCUUUUGGUGCGGUGCCUUCCGAGUUCCCUGGAACGGGACGCCUUAGAGGGUGAGAGCCCCGUACGGUUGGACACCAAGCCUAUGUAAAGCUCCUUCGACGAGUCGAGUAGUUUGGGAAUGCUGCUCAAAAUGGGAGGUAUAUUUCUUCUAAAGCUAAAUAUUGGCCAGAGACCGAUAGCGCACAAGUAGAGUGAUCGAAAGAUGAAAAGCACUUUGAAAAGAGGGUUAAAUAGCACGUGAAAUUGUUGAAAGGGAAGGAUUUAUGACCAGACUUUUUCUAGGGGGAUCAUCCGGUGUUCUCACCGGUGCACUUCCCCUAGUUGAGGCCAGCAUCGGUUUCUGUCGGGGGAUAAAAGCUUUAGGAAUGUGGCUCCCUCCGGGGAGUGUUAUAGCCUGUUGCAUAAUACCCUGACGGGGACCGAGGUUCGCGCAUUGCAAGGAUGCUGGCGUAAUGGUUAUUAAUCACCCGUCUUGAAACACGGACCAAGGAGUCGAACAUUUGUGCGAGUGUUUGGGUGUUAAACCCUCACGCGUAAUGAAAGUGAACGGAGGUGAGAGCCUUUCGGGGUGCAUCAUCGACCGAUCCUGAUGUCUUCGGAUGGAUUUGAGUAAGAGCAUUAAUGUUCGGACCCGAAAGAUGGUGAACUAUGCGUGGAUAGGGUGAAGCCAGAGGAAACUCUGGUGGAGGCUCGCAGCGGUUCUGACGUGCAAAUCGAUCGUCAAAUCUGCGCAUGGGGCGAAAGACUAAUCGAACCC
rnacentral:rRNA from 1 species